CCUACGGGAGGCAGCAGUGGGGAAUAUUGCACAAUGGGCGCAAGCCUGAUGCAGCCAUGCCGCGUGUGUGAAGAAGGCCUUCGGGUUGUAAAGCACUUUAAGCGGGGAGGAAGGCGUUAAGGUUAAUAACCUUGUCGUUUGACGUUACCCGCAGAAGAAGCACCGGCUAACUCCGUGCCAGCAGCCGCGGUAAUACGGAGGGUGCAGGCGUUAAUCGGAAUUACGGGGCGUAAAGCGCACGCAGGCGGUCUGUCAAGUCGGAUGUGAAAUCCCCGGGCUCAACCUGGGAACUGCAUUCGAAACUGGCAGGCUAGAGUCUUGUAGAGGGGGGUAGAAUUCCAGGUGUAGCGGUGAAAUGCGUAGAGAUCUGGAGGAAUACCGGUGGCGAAGGCGGCCCCCUGGACAAAGACUGACGCUCAGGUGCGAAAGCGUGGGGAGCAAACAGGAUUAGAUACCCGAGUAGUC
rnacentral:rRNA from 1 species